rnacentral:misc_RNA from 1 species
GAUGAAGAACGUAGCGAAAUGCGAUAAGUAAUGUGAAUUGCAGAAUUCAGUGAAUCAUCGAAUCUUUGAACGCACAUUGCGCCCGCCAGUAUUCUGGCGGGCAUGCCUGUCCGAGCGUCAUUUCAACCAUCAAGCCCCGGGCUUGUGUUGGGGACCUGCGUCCGACGCAGGCCCUGAAAACCAGUGGCGGGCUCGCUGUCCACACCGAGCGUAGUAACUAACCUCGCUAUGAAGUGGCGCGGGCGCCUGCCGUAAAACCCCCAAUUUCACAAGGUUGACCUCGGAUCAGGUAGGAAUACCCGCUGAACUUAAGCAUAUCAAUAAGCGGAGGA